GACAGAGGGUGCAAACGUUGUCGUACGAUCACUGGGCGUAAAGGGCGUGUAGGCGGGACGGUAAGUCGGGCGUGAAAUCCCUAGGCUCAACCUAGGAACUGCACUCGAAACUACCAUUCUUGAGUGUCGGAGAGGAAAGCGGAAUUCCUGGUGUAGAGGUGAAAUUCGUAGAUAUCAGGAGGAACACCAGUGGCGAAGGCGGCUUUCUGGACGAUAACUGACGCUGAGACGCGAAAGCGUGGGGAGCAAACAGG
rnacentral:rRNA from 1 species